rnacentral:rRNA from 1 species
UACGAAGGGGGCUAGCGUUGCUCGGAAUUACUGGGCGUAAAGGGCGCGUAGGUGGUUGAUCAAGUCUGGGGUGAAAUCUUUCGGCUUAACCGGAAAAGUGCCUUGGAUACUGGUCAGCUGGAGGGAGGUAGGGGCAGUUGGAACUUCCAGUGGAGCGGUGAAAUGCGUUGAUAUUGGAAGGAACGCCGGUGGCGAAAGCGAACUGCUGGACCUCUUCUGACACUGAUGCGCGAAAGCUAGGGGAGCAAACGGG